UGCUGACCCAGCGGCCUCCCAAUGGCAACUGGCCAAGGGCCCAGGGGGGCAUAUGGGGUUACAGGGGUCCCUUGGGUCUGGUAGCUACAUACGAGUUCGCCCAGGGACGUGGUGUGAGGUCUUUACUGAACGCCUGUGUUGCACUGGCCAUGGGCGUAUGGAGAUAGGUAACGAGUUACGUAUAGACACUGAACAUUGUCACCUCACUGGUUACCCUUUUCCCAGAUAAUCUAUUAAUAUAUUGAGUAGCGCUGGUCCCAGUACAGACCCCUGGGGGACCCCACUAUUCAUCCCUCCCCACUGUGAAAACUGACCAUUUCUUCCUGCCCUUUGUUUCCUGUCUUUUAACCAGUUACCAACCCAUGAGAGGAGCUUCCCUCUUAUCCCAUCACAGCUCACUUGGUGUAAGAGCCAUUGGCGAGGGACCUUGUGAAAGGCUUUCUGAGCGUGUCUCCGCUGCAGUAAAAUACCUGCAUCUGCUGACAGUCUCGCAGGGCUCGGGCUGCGGCUAUAAAGCUGCAGCGAAGACAUUCGGGCUCGGGCUGGAGCCCGGAUUCUGGGCCUCCCGGGGGGAAUGUUCCAGAGUCUGGGCUGGAGCCCAAGCCCCAUGAGACCAAGUCAGCGACACAAGCCGCCCAGGGGUAUUGCAAUGCAGAACUACCCGGAAAGUCCAGGUCCCAGAUCCACUGGAUCCCCCUUGUCCACAUGUUUCCUGACCCCCUCAAAGAAUUCUAGUAGAUUGUUUCAACCAGCUUGCCUGGUACUGAAGUCAGGCUUCCCGGCCUGUGAUUGCCAGAAUCACCUCUGGAGCCUCUCUUAAAAACCAGCGUCACGUUAGCUACCCUCCAGUCAGCUGGGGCAGAGGCUGAUUUAAGCGGUUCUGGCUGUUCCCACUAUCACUGUGUCGACACGGGCCGAGCGGAGCGGAGCAGAGCGGGGAGCUGGAGGGGAUUUGACAAGCCGGUGGGUUCUGGCUCUGGGGUCGGUAAGCGCGGGAAGUGUGCAGGAGAUCGGGGCUGGUAACUCCAGAGAGGUGCUCUAAGGGGUCAGGGUCUGCGCCGGCCUCUCGCUAACCUGGACAGAGUGCGGCCGGCGGAGGCUGGGACGGCAGAGCUCGUGCUGCCAGAGGCUGGUGGUUUCAGGGAGCCGACCCACGGCGGGGCCAGACACGACGCCGUCAUGCUAAGGGCAGGCGGCAGCGAGGUGACUCAGACCCCUGGGCAGCAUCACUGCCCCUCGC